rnacentral:rRNA from 1 species
GGGUUGUGAGGUUAAGCGACUAAGCGUACACGGUGGAUGCCCUGGCAGUCAGAGGCGAUGAAGGACGUGCUAAUCUGCGAUAAGCGUCGGUAAGGUGAUAUGAACCGUUAUAACCGGCGAUUUCCGAAUGGGGAAACCCAGUGUGAUUCGUCACACUAUCAUUAACUGAAUCCAUAGGUUAAUGAGGCGAACCGGGGGAACUGAAACAUCUAAGUACCCCGAGGAAAAGAAAUCAACCGAGAUUCCCCCAGUAGCGGCGAGCGAACCUGCAU